rnacentral:rRNA from 1 species
AUGGUCAAACAAAUGCAUCAGAAAUAUGAGGAAGCCUCGGCUCAAUUUCAAUCUCAAUUGGCUGAUUUAAAAAACCAGCUUGAACUGCAAGAAGCCGAGACCCAAAAAGCUGACUCCAAGUUCAAAUUGAGCUUGGAUGAAGCAGAAAAGCUAAAGACCGGGUUUAAUGCCGAGAAAGACACCUGGGCUGAAGAAAAGACUGCCCUGGUACAGAGAGCUGAAAAUGCUGAAACCUCUUUGCAAGAGGUCGCCACAGAACUUACCAGCUUAAAACGUCAUAUCACACAGAUGACUUCCGCUAUCUUUGGCCCCAGGAGUACCAAUCUUGGUCAAGAGAUGCUGAUAAUACUCAAGGCGGUUUACACACUGGUGGAGCAAUUGUAUACCGGUGCUUAG